rnacentral:rRNA from 1 species
GUGGGGAAUUUUGGACAAUGGGCGAAAGCCUGAUCCAGCCAUGCCGCGUGGAGGAAGACUGCCCUCUGGGUUGUAAACUCCUUUUAUAUGGGAAGAACCGUCCUCAUUAAUGAGUGACCUGACGGUACCAUAGGAAUAAGCACCGGCUAACUCCGUGCCAGCAGCCGCGGUAAUACGGAGGGUGCAAGCGUUAUCCGGAUUCACUGGGUUUAAAGGGUGCGUAGGCGGAUAAAUAAGUCAGUGGUGAAAUCAACGGGCUCAACCUGUUAACUGCCAUUGAUACUGUGUAUCUUGAAUAUGAGAGAGGUAGGCGGAAUGUUGCAUGUAGCGGUGAAAUGCUUAGAUAUGCUACGGAACACCGAUUGUGAAGGCAGCUUACUAUUUCGUAAUUGACGCUGAGGCACGAAAGCGUGGGUAGCGAACAGGAUUAGAAACCCCAGUAGUCC